rnacentral:rRNA from 1 species
AUUGAACGCUGGCGGCAGGCUUAACACAUGCAAGUCGAGCGAGCGGCGGACGGGUGUGUAAUGUCUGGGAAACUCCCUGAUGGAGGGGGAUAACUACUGGAAACGGUAGCUCAUACCGCAUACCAUCAGAUGUGCCCAUAUGGGAUUAGCUAGUAGGUGGGGUAAUGGCUCACCUAGGCGACGAUCCCUAGCUGGUCUGAGAGGAUGACCAGCCACACUGGAACUGAGACACGGUCCAGACGCCUACGGGAGGAAGCAGUGGGGAAUAUUGCACAAUGGGAGAAAGCCUGAUGCAGCCAUGCCGCGUGUAUGAAGAAGGCCUUCGGGUUGUAAAGUACUUUCAGCGAGGAGGCGUUACUCGCAGAAGAAGCACCGGCUAACUACGUGCCAGCAGCCGCGGUAAUAC